rnacentral:rRNA from 1 species
UACGGAGGGUGCAAGCGUUAUCCGGAUUCACUGGGUUUAAAGGGUGCGUAGGUGGCUAUUUAAGUCAGUGGUGAAAGCCCGCGGCUCAACCGUGGAAUUGCCAUUGAAACUGAGUAGCUUGAGUACAGUUGAAGUGGGCGGAAUAUAUCAUGUAGCGGUGAAAUGCUUAGAUAUCGGGAGGAAUACCAGUGGCGAAGGCGCUGGGCUGGACGGUUAUUGACGCUGAGGUGCGAAAGCGUGGGGAGCAAACAGG